CAAUAGCGUAUAUUUAAGUUGCUGCAGUUAAAAAGCUCGUAGUUGGAUGUCGGGUGGGAAUGGCCGGUCCGCCGUUUCGGUGUGCACUUGCUACGCCCACCUUGCUGCCGGGGACGUGCUCUUGAGUUCACGCUCGGGACACGGAGUCGGCGAGGUUACUUUGAGUAAAUUAGAGUGUUCAAAGCAGGCCUACGCUCUGAAUACAUUAGCAUGGAAUAACACGAUAGGACUCUGGCCUAUCUUGUUGGUCUGUAGGACCGGAGUAAUGAUUAAGAGGGACAGUCGGGGGCAUUCGUAUUUCAUUGUCAGAGGUGAAAUUCUUGGAUUUAUGAAAGACGAACUACUGCGAAAGCAUUUGCCAAGGAUGUUUUCAUUAA
rnacentral:rRNA from 1 species